CCUGAGGAGGCAGAGCAGUCUCAGCCCCUGCAGGAGGAUCCAGGACGGGACCGGACACAAGAACAGGACCGUGCCCGUGGCCGCUUCCGCAGGGCAGCACAGGCCUUUCUGACACUAUUGGGUAUUCGGCGUAGAAAGACCAGGACCUCAC